ACAGGGCGUCCAGCAGCAUCAGCUUCCACGGCUCGCUCACGCCGCUAGGUAGCGGCAGGUACACGUAAUAGGCGGCCGCCGCCAGCAGCACGGCUCCGGCCAAACGGAGCCUCAUCACGCAGCGGGAGGAGGAGAGAACCUGCCCGGUAUCAUACGGCACUGCCUGCUGUCAGGUUGCUACUGCUUUGUUUGUUGGCUGUUGGAGUACACCACACAUUCGCUGAUGGUGAUGAAUCUCCAGAGGACAAGAGGGAAGAUUCACUGGCUGCUGUCUCUGAAAAGGGUGCAAGCAGCAAUAAUACUGGGGAUGAAUUGCUUCAAAGCACAUUGCCACCUAAUGAAGACUUCUUGAUUGAAAAUGACACCAGUUGCUACAAUACAACUGCUGAUGACUUGGAGGCUGAAACACCGAAGCAAAACACAUCUGAGUCGGAACCCCCAUGUCCAACCAGUUCCUCUCGCAACCCACCAAUGGAAGAUUCUGCUCAGGGGCCAGCACAAGUUCGAAGCUCCUCUUCCCUAAAUGCCCCUGACUCUGAUUGCCCAACUGAGAAGCCCGCAAGUACAAGCCAUCCACCCCAGAUGGCGAUA